rnacentral:rRNA from 1 species
GACGAACGCUGGCGGCGUGCUUAACACAUGCAAGUCGAACGGAGUGGCGAACGGGUGAGUAACACGUGGGUGAUCUGCCUUGCACUUCGGGAUAAGCUUGGGAAACUGGGUCUAAUACCGGAUAGUGCAAGAUGAGCUCGCGGCCAAUCAGCUUGUUGGUGGGGUAAUGGCCUACCAAGGCGUCGGCGGGUAGCCGGCCUGAGAGGGUGUACGGCCACAUGGGGACUGAGAUACGGCCCAGUCGCGUACGGGGGGCAGCGGUGGGGAAUAUUGCACAAUGGGGUGACGUGUGAUGCAGCGACGCCGCGUGGGUGAUGAAGGCCUUCGGGUUGUAAACUCCGGUCGGCAGGGACGCGGUACCUGUAUAAGAAGCACCGGCUAACUACGUGCCAGCAGCCGCGGUAAUAC